rnacentral:tRNA from 1 species
AUCCCUGUAGUGCAAUGGAUAGCGCGUUGGACUUCUAUUCCAAAGGUCGUGGAUUCGAAUCCUACCUGGGAUC